rnacentral:tRNA from 1 species
GCCUCUGUAGCUUAAUUGGUAAAGAAAUCGGCUUAUACCCGAUCAGAGCUCUUUCUAGAUAAGGAAGAUGUUAUAGGUUCGAGUCCUAUCAGAGGCA